CGCGGGAUGGAGCAGCCCGGUAGCUCGUCAGGCUCAUAACCUGAAGGUCGGUGGUUCAAAUCCGCCUCCCGCAACCA
rnacentral:tRNA from 1 species